GACGAAGGGGGCUAGCGUUGUUCGGAAUUACUGGGCGUAAAGCGCGUGUAGGCGGUUGCCCAAGUCGGGGGUGAAAGCCUUGAGCUCAACUCAAGAAAUGCAUUCGGUACUGGGUGACUAGAGGACCGGAGAGGAUAGUGGAAUUCCCAGUGUAGUGGUGAAAUACGUAGAGAUUGGGAAGAACACCAGUGGCGAAGGCGGCUAUCUGGACGGUUUCUGACGCUAAGACGCGAAAGCGUGGGGAGCAAACAGG
rnacentral:rRNA from 1 species